GACGUUUUUCCGGAAUNAUUGGGNUAAAGGNGGCGUAGGCNGUACNUUAAGUCUNUAGUAAAAGGCGGCAGCUCAACUGUNGUAGGCUAUGGAAACUGGCGAACUAGAGNGCAGAAGAGGGGCGAUGGAACNNCCAUGUGNAGCGGUAAAAUGCGUAGAUAUAUGGAAGAACCACCAGUGGCGAAAGGGCGGUCGCCUGGUCUGUAACUGNCGCUGAAGCACGGAAAGCGUGGGGAGCAAAUAGGAUUAGAUACCCUAGUAGUCCCACCNCCGUAAAACGAUGAGAACUAAAGUGUUGGGGGAAUAACUCAGUGCUGCAGUUAACGCAAUAAGUUCUCCGCCUGGGGAGUAUGCACCGCAAGUGUGAAACUCAAAGGAAUUGACGGGGGCCCGCACAAGCGGUGGAGUAUGUGGUUUAAUUCGAAGCAACGCGAAGAACCUUACCAGGCCUUGACAUCCCCGGCGAAGACAUGGAGACAUGUCCGGAGGUUACCCGGGAGACAGGUGGUGCAUGGUUGUCGUCAGCUCGUGUCGUGAGAUGUUGGGUUAAGUCCCGCAACGAGCGCAACCCUUGUGAUAUGUUACUAACAUUGAGUUGAGGACUCAUAUCAGACUGCCGGUGACAAACCGGAGGAAGGUGGGGAUGACNUCAAAUCAUCAUGCCCCUUAUGGCCUGGGCUACACACGUACUACAAUGGCGGCUACAAAGAGCGGCGAACCCNCGAGGGGGAGCGAAUCUCACAAAGGUCGUCUCAGUUCGGAUUGAAGUCUGCAACCCGACUUCAUGAAGUUGGAAUCGCAUAGUAAUCGCGAAUCAGCAUGUCGCGGNGAAUACGUUCUCGGGCCUUGUACNCCCCGCCCGUCAAACCAUGGGNGUUGGUANUNCCCGAANCCGGUGGCUUNCCCCAAGGAGUNACCNUCCAAGGUGGAUCCAUA
rnacentral:rRNA from 1 species